CUCCCACAAAACAUAAUCAACAAGACUUUCUUGCAUCCUCCGCUUAUUAUGAUGUUGAUUAAUUAGUUGUUAUCUAAGCCGGCCUAAAUGCUUAUCUGCCAAAGUUCUUUCUUCAUCUUGAACCUUUCUUUCUUUAAUUUUCUCUUCUGAUUCUACAUUCAUAAAUGGACUUAAAUAUUGAGAAUUACAACAACAAAACCAAGUGCAAGCUAGAAGAAAAUCAGCCAGCAAAUGGGAUAGAAAAUUUAACUCGUGAAAUCGCUCUCGACAUACUUUCAAGGCUGCCCAUCACAUCUUUGCUUCAGUCCAGAAUUGUAUGCAGAGCCUGGCAAAAGUUGUCACUUGAUCAAAAUCUUGUUAACUUGCACCUCUCUCAGGCAGCGACGCAUAAUCCAUUGCUCAUAUUUCACUGUGACAAUCCAAUUCAAAACCAGCUGUAUUUUGCAGAAUUAUCUGAUCUUAAUGACAAAGAGAAGUUGAGAAAAAUUCACACGCCUUUCUGUGCUUCCAUGCCAGAGUUUAAUGUUGUGGGAUCAUGUAAUGGCUUAUUAUGUUUAUCCGACUCGCUACAUAAUGAUGCAAUUUUCAUAUACAACCCCUUCACUGGGACUACAAAGAGCUGCCAAAAUCAAGAACUUAUCAGGAACAAGAAGUUAUGAUUGGAUUUGGUUUUCAUCCAGUGAUCAACGAGUAUAAGGUGGUUAAGAUAAUCUACUAUUGGAAUGAUUAUAUCGGAAGAUUUAAUUCACAAUCAGAAGUUCAGUUAUUCAGUCCGAGCAGAAAUAAAUGGAGAAGUAUGGGAAAAGUACCUUAUCAGCUUGAAAGACAGUCACCAGAAGCUGUUUUCUUGAAUGGAAGACUUCAUUGGAUGACUCGACAUAGAACUCGACCAGGUAGGUAUAAUAAUGCUCAUAUCAUUGCCUUUGAUCUUGCAGAUGAACAAUUCCAUGAAGUUUUAAAACCUGAUUUUGGGGGGCUAAAUAGGCCCAACUAUCAUUUAGCUGUUCUGGGAGGGUGUCUUUCUGCAGUAGUUUAUUAUAGUAAAG
rnacentral:lncRNA from 1 species